rnacentral:rRNA from 1 species
AGCGAACGCUGGCGGCAGGCCUAACACAUGCAAGUCGAGCGCCCGCAAGGGGAGCGGCAGACGGGAGAGUAACACGUGGGAACGUACCCUUCGGUUCGGAACAACCCAGGGAAACUUGGGCUAAUACCGGAUACGUCCGAAAGGUGAAAGAUUUAUCGCCGAGGGAUCGGCCCGCGUCUGAUUAGCUAGUUGGUGGGGUAACGGCCCACCAAGGCGACGAUCAGUAGCUGGUCUGAGAGGAUGAUCAGCCUCACUGGGACUGAGACACGGCCCAGACUCCUACGGGAGGCAGCAGUGGGGAAUAUUGGACAAUGGGCGCAAGCCUGAUCCAGCCAUGCCGCGUGGGUGAUGAAGGCCCUAGGGUUGUAAAGCCCUUUCGGCGGGGAAGAUAAUGACGGUACCCGCAGAAGAAGCCCCGGCUAACUUCGUGCCAGCAGCCGCCGCAGUAA